CCUACGGGAGGCAGCAGUGAGGAAUAUUGGUCAAUGGGCGCGAGCCUGAACCAGCCACGUAGCGUGAAGGAUGACUGCCCUACGGGUUGUAAACUUCUUUUAUAAAGGAAUAAAGUGAGGCACGUGUGCCUUUUUGUAUGUACUUUAUGAAUAAGGAUCGGCUACAUCCGUGCCAGCAGCCGCGGUAAUACGGAGGAUACGAGCGUUAUCCGGAUUUAUUGGGUUUAAAGGGAGCGUAGAGGGGUUGUUAAGUCAGUUGUGAAAGUUUGCGGCUCAACCCUAAAAUUGCAAUUGCUACUGGCAGCCUUGAGUACAGUUGAGGUAGGCGGAAUUCGGGGUGUAGCGGUGAAAUGCUUAGAUAUCACGAAGAACUCCGAUUGCGAAGGCAGCUUACUAAACUGCCACUGACAUUGAUGCUCGAAAGUGUGGGUAUCAAACAGGAUUAGAUACCCCAGUAGUC
rnacentral:rRNA from 1 species